rnacentral:rRNA from 1 species
GGACGCACGGGUGAGUAACGCGUGGGUAACCUGACCCCAGAAUCUGGGAUAACAUCGCGAAAGCGUUGCUAAUACCGGAUAUCGUCCUUAAAACCGUGGUUUUUGGGAUGAAGAUGACCUCUCCAUGGAAGUUGUCGUUCAGGAGGGGCCCGCGUACCAUUAGCUUGUUGGUAGGGUAAUGGCCUACCAAGGCUACGAUGGUUAGCUGGUCUGAGAGGAUGAUCAGCCACACUGGAACUGAAACACGGUCCAGACUCCUACGGGAGGCAGCAGUGAGGAAUUUUGCGCAAUGGGGGAAACCCUGACGCAGCAACGCCGUGUGAGUGAAGAAGGCCUUCGGGUCGUAAAGCUCUGUCAAGGGGGAAAAAAAUCCUUUCGAUCAAUAGUCAUUAAGGACUGAUGGUACCCCUAGAGGAAGCACCGGCUAACUCCGUG